CCUACGGGUGGCAGCAGUGGGGAAUAUUGCACAAUGGGGGAAACCCUGAUCCAGCGACGCCGCGUGAGUGAAGAAGUAUCUCGGUACGGAAAGCUCUAUCAGCCGGGGAGAAAAUUACGGUACCUGACUCAGAAGCCCCGGCUAACUACGUGCCAGCAGCCGCGGUAAUACGUAGGGGGCAAGCGGUAUCCGGAUUUACUGGGUGUAAAGGGAGCGUAGACGGGAGCACAAGUCUGGAGUGAAAUCCCGGGGCUUAACCCCCGAACUGCUGUGGAAACUGUGCGGCGUGAGUGCAGGAGGGGUAAGCGGAAUGCGUGGUGUAGCGGUGAAAUGCGUAGAUAUUACGAGGAACACCGGUGGCGAAGGCGGCUUACUGGAGGGCAACUGACGUUGAGGCGCGAAAGCGUGGGGAGCAAACAGGAUUAGAUACCCUGGUAGUC
rnacentral:rRNA from 1 species